AGAGAAAACCUUUUGUGAAAGGCUCUCCAAGCAGAGACAGACUGUAGCAGAUCUCCAUGGGAAGUACUCCAGUCAGAUGAGUCUUGACACCCUUGUUCAGAGAUCUGCCACGGAACCUUCACUAGCAGAUAUGACCGAGUGGCUAAUGGAUGCGGAUAUAGCACUUCAUCAGCAAUUCUGCUGUAAGCUGUAUUUGCUUGAGACGCUUAAAUAUGAUGAUACUAAAUCAGCAGAAAAACUUCAAACUACAUGCGUGCAUGAAGAGAAGAUUGUCAUCAAUCAGAUUAAAGAGUAUUUGGACAAAGUACAUUUUUUCUUGAUGGAGGAUUUAUGACAGUGACCUGGAGAAGAGAUUCCAAUUCCUUGAUGAGAACUCGACAAACACUUUGUCAGAAAAUUUGGUAAAGAAGCAUGUGUAUGUAACAGCUUAACGCCAAUUUGUUGUUCCAAGAAUAUCACUGAUUUUAAUAAACAAGCUUGAACCGUGGUACAGCAGUUGAACAAGACUUGAACCCGCAUCUAGUUGUGAUCACAUAUAGCUCAGAAACAUACGACUGACGUUUUGUAGACCAUUACACCGCUUUCAUAAUGUCAACUAGUCGACCACAUGUUGUCUGUCAGUGUCAAAGUUCACAUCGCCCCUCAACACCUUCCUGGGUGAUGUAAAACCAUAAAAGCGAAACAACGGACUCUCUUUCACACUAUAAUACAUGAACACAUUAACAUACAAUUCAGAGCCAACAAAUGUUCUUUGGCCUUUACAGCAUUGUAGUAUUCAGAGUCUUCAAAAUGUUUAACUGACCUUCACAUUGUGGAUAGCAUUUGGAGAUACAGGGCGCAUGGGAACAGCUGCACAAGAAUAUUGUGUGAACACUUACCACUGGUGCUAUAUUUAUUGCAUGUAUGAUUAAAAUGCAAUGCAGUGAAGUGCUAAAUACAUCAGUAUUGUUUGAAAUGUCUUUUGUAUCAUUUUCACUACAUUUCUUAGAAGGACUUUCCUACAGUGUACUAGCUGAAGGUUACUGAGAGAAUAAACAUAUGGCAUACAAUUCUGAAGCACAUGUACAACUGUUGCCAUGAGGUGCCGGUACAUAUUCAGAAAUAGGCCUCCCUUACAGAGGGCUACUCUCACUAUUUGUGAGCCCUUGAUGACAAUAAGCUCUCAAUGACAUUUCUGGACAUUCAGCAGUCUAACUUGUUUUUCACCAGUAUGGUGUGCAUAUCUGUACGUCACACAUGGACAAGUUGGCCAGUAACUUGCCAAAGGUCAGUGGUUUACCUUCUGGGCACAUCGGUUUCCUCCACACAUAAAACUGUGCAUGAGUGAAAAAUUCUUGAGUAUUGUAUGAAACAACAAUCAAAUUAAUAAAUCCAGAGGGUUAAAGUUACAGUUCACUGUAUUGAAUUGAACUUCAUACAUAGCUUCACUGUGACAACUUACAAAUCAAGUUUCAAAUAAACCAUUUUCAUCUAUUUUCGAGGAAAUCAUAUACUUUGUCAGUCUUCAUAGCAUCUACCAGCGGAAUGGGUCUCUUAAGGUCUGGGAUAUUAGAGAUUUAGGGGCCUGUGUGGCUGCUGUGCCCUUUUGGUGUACUGAAGAAUUUUUGACUGAUUCAGCACCUCAGUUCUUAAGGUUUAUGUAUCCCUGGAGUAAACUAUUGCCUUUCAAUAAAGUUGGUAUAUGCCGUACUCAAGAAUAUUUUUACAACCAGCAUUAUGCUGGUAGGAAACCGGUCAGUAACCGGGGGAAACAUAAUCAAUAAUAAGAAAGCAUAAGAAUCGCAAUUCAAAACUAAUUCAAAAUAAAAAAUUUGUAUAUUUUUUGUCUUCGAAAAAGUACAUAGAAAUAUCUUUAGUCACAAAGUCAUAAAAUUCUGAGUAAAUUCGAAAUCUUCAAGUAUAAAAAGGUAAACGUUCUACUCACAGAUGCCUUAAAGAUAAUCUAAGAAAAGGAUCAAGUUCACAAUGAAAAAUCUUUGUCAUGACAUAAAUGCUGGGGUGUAGCAAAUGUCAAAUUGGUUUCUAUAGCCAAACGCACACCCUCUCCUGAUUGGUCGGUGAAUCAGUGUACGUAUGUCACUCGUAGGGCCUGGUUUCACUGGCUCCGCCCAUGAAGAUGUUUUCUAUAGCAAUGGAUACUUUAGGAUUGAAGCCUAGGAUUGGCUGAAAAAAAACACUAUCCAGAACCAUUCAGUUGUCUAAAAACAUUACAUACAUGAGUGUAGAAGUACAGGUACAUACCUUUGAUGUGACGUACUGUCAUUAUUUUAAGGAUAGGUUUCCGGGAUGCAAGUUUAAAGCUUGUCUCUCUAACUCCUGUAUUUAAAAGCUAGUAUGUGUAUAAAUGGGCAUAAAAUGUUACUGACUAGCUCAAAACAGAAUGUAUUUCAGUUAUAAAGAAUAAUUACAAAAAUAUCAACAUGACUAUUUUCAACUUUCAGAUUCUUGGUCCACGCAUGUGUCCAAAGUUAAAGAUGUAAAAAGUCAAUCGAUCACAUUCAAUAAAAAUAUUAAGAAAUAAAAAGGUGUUAAAUUGAAUAUGCCGUGCUCCUGUUGCACAGCGGCUCUCCCCUGAAUAUGAGAACUCUUCAGUAGUUUCUCUUUAAAAUACCAUCAAGUAGGGACACAAAAAAUAUCAAAUGAAGAAAUAAAUUUGAACAUUGGCUUUUUGCAUGUCAAAAUUUAUGUUAAAAACUAGGCAAAACUGUAGAAUGUGUAUGAGUAGGCUAUAUCUGAGUGAAUGAUUUACUAAGGUCCAAGAGAAAUAGAAACCUCUAACAGGGUGAAAGUUUCUAACUUCCACCUGGGAAGAACAUUGAAGGCCCCUUUGUGGAAUGGCGAGAGAGCAAGUCUUGCACUCGCGUGACACUUUGGUAUGAGUGUAAUAUGACUAAACUCAGUUGAUCAGUUCCACUCAGGCUGAGAAACUUAAGAAUGUCUCUUAUUUCUAGUGGAGUAAAGACUUCACGUUACGUUUACUUAGUUGAUUAGAUCACAACUUCAAUGUAAGUUUACCUAUUGUGUGUAGUUGUUUUGAUUAUUUCUUCUUUUUUUUAAUGUUUUGGAGUAUUAAAAAACUUUGUUCAAAGGCAAUGGUACAGUAAUAGACGAGCACUAGAUGGUGACAAGUUGCCACUGAAGAAAAUUAACAAAUGACUGUAUAUCAAAUCAUUUGCUACUUAGCUGCCAAAAUUUAUAAACAUAUGUAUUAGU